rnacentral:rRNA from 1 species
GACAGAGGGUGCAAACGUUGUUCGGAAUUACUGGGCGUAAAGCGUGUGUAGGCGGUCCACUAAGUCGGGUGUGAAAGCCCUGGGCUCAACCCAGGAAGUGCACUCGAAACUGGCGGGCUAGAGUAUCGGAGAGGUUGGUGGAAUUCUCGGUGUAGAGGUGAAAUUCGUAGAUAUCGAGAGGAACACCGGUGGCGAAGGCGGCCAACUGGACGAAUACUGACGCUGAGGUGCGAAAGCGUGGGGAGCAAACAGG